GGAGGAAAAAGGAAACGGAAGUGGAGUGAAAAACUUCCACACUACGGCGAGGUUGGGAUACAAACGGAGACGGAAUUCCGACGAGGGGUCAUCCGACAAUCGUGUGAGGCGGUGCUUGGGUGGGUGGAAAUCUUGGUGUGGUUUGUGUAUAAAGAGGUCUCAAAGGCAAGGGAAGGUAUGGGCGUCUUUGUAGAACAUAACUAGCUAAGUGAAUUUAUGAUAUUUAGGAUAGAGUUAUAUGUGUUUUUGGUGAUAAUGUGUCGAUGGAAGGUGAGGGAGUGACUUAAGACCGGCACUGUUGGUUUUGGUUAGACACUGUUAGAAAUUUAAUAAUUUUGUGAUGGUGAUGAUCAGUUAUGAAUAAUUUUGUGGUGCAAGCUGUCAAUUGAUUGGGUGUGAUUUCUUUUAUAAGGUGAACACUUGAUUUUUUCAGAAUGUGCAGGUCUCGAUGAGAUUUUUUGGAUGUUAUCCACUAACCUGAUUUUUUAGUGUCAAUUAAUGGUCUCAGAUUGGUUGUUUCCAGAUUUGUUGGUCCCAGAUUUAUUUUCAACUCUCUUUUAAAUUUUGUUGAUUCCAGAUUUGAUGAUUAGCAUGGUUUCAACUCUCUUUUAUUUUUUAGAUUUGUUAAUUCCAGAUUUGUAGGUUCCAGAUGGAUUUUCAACCCUCUUUUAUUUUCAGAUUUGUUGAUUCCAGAUUUGUUUGUUCCAGAUUUAUUUUCAACUCUUUUAAUUCUUGUUGGAUUCCAUAUUUUACGAUUAGCAUGGUUUCAACUCUCUUUUACUUUCUUUUGUUGUCAUGAUGUAAUAUGGUUGUCAUAUUAUUUCGAUAUCGGGUCAUAUUGGAAUCAUUUUGAAAUGAAGAUAUUCUAUGUAUUUUCAGAUUUGUUAAUGCUUGGUUUCAUAAUUUUAAACUUCCAGAUUGCUGAUUGGGUCGAUGACUGAUUAAGUUUUGAAUUUUAUUCCGGUUCAGAUUGUUGUUUUAUCGACACUGUGACUUAUUUUAUCUAUUUUCAGAAGUUAAUUAAUCAGUUUUGAGAGUAAUUGUGUUGGUCUGAAUUCUUAAGAGCAUGGUUUCAACUCUCUUUUAUUUUCUUCUGUUGGUUAGUUCCAACUUAGGUUUUUGGUUGGGGUUGUAUAUAUCUUUUUUUGUAGUAACAUGAUUGAGAAGUGAAUGAUAUGUGAGUGACUACGACAUGUGAACUAGUGCGUGAAAUUUUGCGAAUAGUGAGUGAAAUGGUACUUGAGUGAGAGUGCAUGAAUAAUAGUGUUUGGAAGUGAAUUACAGUUAUUGCGUGAUUGUUAUAUAAAUAGUGUAAAAUAAUGUGAUUUUCAUUGAUUUUGAUUCUUUAUAUGUGAUGUGCCUGACAUUAGGGAACCCAUACUGUGUCGAUGAAAUAAUUGACUCACCCAUUUUGUGUUCAUUGUGUGAUAGGAUGAAAUCAAUGAAAAAAUGCACGACGGUCCAGGGACGAAGUGCAUUGAGUUUUUAUUUUGUUUGUUUUAUUUGUUUGGUUAAGCGGUAUCUAGGGUAGAGAUUAUUGUUUAGAUGGAUUACGAAACAUGCAUUUUUUUUUGGAUAUUGAUACCUAAACUUAUGAGUGUGUUCAUCUUAUAUUGCAUUGGUUAUUAAUUUACUAUACUCACC
rnacentral:lncRNA from 1 species